AUCUUCGGCAAUGGGCGCAAGCCUGACCGAGCGACGCCGCGUGGGCGAUGAAGGCCAUUAGGUUGUAAAGCUCUGUCGAGGGGGAACAAGCCGCAAGGUUGAGUGAUCCCUGGAGGAAGCACGGGCUAAGUUCGUGCCAGCAGCCGCGGUAAGACGAACCGUGCGAACGUUGUUCGGAAUCAUUGGGCUUAAAGGGCGCGUAGGCGGGUUGACAAGUCCGGGGUGAAAGCCUCCAGCUCAACUGGAGAAGAGCCCCGGAUACUGUCAGUCUGGAGAGGGAUAGGGGCACAUGGAACUUCCGGUGGAGCGGUGAAAUGCGUAGAGAUCGGAAGGAACGCCGGUGGCGAAAGCGAUAUGCUGGAUCUUUUCUGACGCUGAGGCGCGAAAGCUAGGGGAGCAAACGGGAUUAGAUACCCCGGUAGUCCUAGCCCUAAACGAUGGGUACUGGGUUGCGGGUCAGACAUAGACUCGCAGCCGGAGCAAAAGUGUUAAGUACCCCGCCUGGGGAGUAUGGUCGCAAGGCUGAAACUCAAAGGAA
rnacentral:rRNA from 1 species